rnacentral:rRNA from 1 species
GUCGCUACUACCGAUUGGGAAAAUUUCAGAAUGCUUAGGACCGGGACUAGUUCGGCUUCACGGCCUUACUUGUACUGGUAAUAAGUAUAAUGAUAUUUUCCUAGAGGAAGUAA